GAGUUUGAUCGUGGCUCAGAUUGAACGCUGGCGGCAUGCCUUACACAUGCAAGUCGAACGGCAGCAUGAUCUAGCUUGCUAGAUUGAUGGCGAGUGGCGAACGGGUGAGUAAUACAUCGGAACGUGCCCUGUAGUGGGGGAUAACUAGUCGAAAGAUUAGCUAAUACCGCAUACGACCUGAGGGUGAAAGUGGGGGACCGCAAGGCCUCAUGCUAUAGGAGCGGCCGAUGUCUGAUUAGCUAGCUGGUGGGGUAAAGGCCCACCAAGGCGACGAUCAGUAGCUGGUCUGAGAGGACGAUCAGCCACACUGGGACUGAGACACGGCCCAGACUCCUACGGGAGGCAGCAGUGGGGAAUUUUGGACAAUGGGCGAAAGCCUGAUCCAGCAAUGCCGCGUGUGAAGAAGGCCUCGGUGUAAG
rnacentral:rRNA from 1 species